rnacentral:rRNA from 1 species
AUACCAGCCCCGCGAGUGGUCGGGACGGUUAUUGGGCCUAAAGCGCCCGUAGCCGGCCCGGUAAGUUCCCGCCGAAAUCCCCGGGCUCAACCCGGGGGCCUGCGGGAAUACUGCCGGGCUAGGGGGCGGGAGAGGCCGGGGGUACUCCCGGGGUAGGGGCGAAAUCCUAUAAUCCCGGGAGGACCACCAGUGGCGAAGGCGCCCGGCUGGAACGCGCCCGACGGUGAGGGGCGAAAGCCGGGGGAGCGAACCGGAGUAGAAACCCUAGUAGUCC